rnacentral:lncRNA from 1 species
AAAAAAUAAAAGAAAUUUGUUUUUAGUAUUAUAUUGUGGCUAAUGAAGGAGUUAAAAAGUCCUAUUGUUAUGAGGAUUGCAAAACUUUUAAAUAUCAGAAACUGAAGAAAGCAUUGAUAAUCAGCAGAUAUCAAAAAAGCGGAAAAGUACUGAUUAUACAACUCUUUUAAAGUUGAGGAAGAAUUUUAUGUUAAUGUUAAUGCAAAAGGUAUGAAUAUUGACAGGUUUGCUAAUUUGAUGUUACAAUAAACAUGAAAUAAAGUUUGUGAAGACCUUGGUGCCAAAAAUACUUGCAUGCAUUAUUCAUGCAUGCUGUAUUAUAAUAUAGCAUGCAUGCAUGAUGCAUUCAAGUAUAAAAAAAAAAAUUACAAAUGUUUAAUUAUACAAAAAGAUUAUGGAUGUGGUACUGCAAGUAUAUUCAAUUGAUUAUGCAAGUAAGUUGUCCUACUUUACAUCUUUGAAGACUAAUAAUAAUUGUAAUGAACAUAUCUCAGACAAUAUACACUCGGAUUUAUAUUUUAGUUAAAUAAUCACCACUUCCACAGCCACCUUGUCUCAAGCAUUAAAUGGCAUUCUAAGAUAUCUUUAUUCAAAUUAGGUGUGACUACUUUACCAAAAGACUCUAGAAUGGACCAAUCAACUAACCCAUCAGUACUUGCAAAGUCUCUAUUUCUGUAAGCCCGAAAAUUGAGUUCUGAAAUACUAUUAUCCACAUAACUUCUAUAUCAAAGUACAAUCUAAUGGAUUGAUCAAUGAAACUGUCGGUAUCUCCA